rnacentral:rRNA from 1 species
UACGUAGGGUGCAAGCGUUGUCCGGAAUUACUGGGCGUAAAGGGCUCGUAGGUGGCCAACUAAGUCAGACGUGAAAUCCCCAGGCUCAACUUGGGAACUGCGUCUGAUACUGGAUGGCUUGAAUUCGGGAGAGGGAUGCAGAAUUCCAGGUGUAGCGGUGAAAUGCGUAGAUAUCUGGAGGAAUACCGGUGGCGAAGGCGGCAUCCUGGACCGAUAUUGACACUGAUGAGCGAAAGCUAGGGGAGCAAACGGG